CCCUCCUUUUAAAUCGUGUAGCCAGUAUCUUUUGCUCCUCUGAAAUAAACCCGGUUCUAGGAAGACUUCAGUGCCACCAGGUCUGCUUACCCAAAUCCAUUGACAAGAACCACACAUUUGCACUACAUGGUGGAGAAACUGAGAUUCAGACAAGGAGCUUCUUGUUCAGCAAACACUACUUAGCCAAUAAUCUAAAUGGAAGUUAAUGGAGAAUUGUUUGACUCAGUGCUAUGGUCUGAAUGUUGUGUCCCUCCCAAAUUCAAAUUCAAAUCCUAACCCCAAGGUGGUGAUAUGAGGAGGUGGAGUCUUUGGAAGGUGAUUAUAUCAUGGGAGUGGAACUGUCAUGAAUGGGAUCAGUGCCCUUGUAUAAAAGCCUCCUCAACCCUUCAACUAUGUGAGGACACGGCAAGAAGAUGCCAUCUAUGAACUGGAAAGUAGGCCCUCAUCAGACUCAGACCUACUGACACCUUGAUCUUGGACUUCCCAGUCUCCAGAACCUUGAGAAAUAAAUUUCUGCUGUUUAUAAGA